rnacentral:rRNA from 1 species
AAUAGAUACCCUGGUAGUCCACGCCUUAAACGAUGUCUACUAGUUGUUGGUGGAGUAAAAUCCAUUAGUAACGCAGCCAACGCGUGAAGUAGACCGCCUGGGGAGUACGGUCGCAAGAUUAAAACUCAAAGGAAUUGACGGGGGGCCCGCACAAGCGGUGGAUUAUGUGGAUUAAUUCGAUGCAACGCGAAAAACCUUACCUGGCCUUGACAUGCCACUAACGAAGCAGAGAUGCAUUAGGUGCCCGAAAGGGAAAGUGGACACAGGUGCUGCAUGGCUGUCGUCAGCUCGUGUCGUGAGAUGUUGGGUUAAGUCCCGCAACGAGCGCAACCCUUGCCAAUAAUUGCCAUCAUUCAGUUGGGCACUUUAUUGGGACUGCCGGUGACAAACCGGAGGAAGGUGGGGAUGACGUCAAGUCCUCAUGGCCCUUAUGGCCAGGGCUUCACACGUAAUACAAUGGUCGGUACAGAGGGUAGCCAAGCCGCGAGGUGGAGCCAAUCCCAGAAAGCCGAUCGUAGUCCGGAUUGCAGU